CAGGACUUGACAUCCCUCUGACCGGCGUGUAACGGCGCCUUCCCUUCGGGGCAGAGGAGACAGGUGGUGCAUGGUUGUCGUCAGCUCGUGUCGUGAGAUGUUGGGUUAAGUCCCGCAACGAGCGCAACCCUUGUCAUUAGUUGCCAGCAGGUUAAGCUGGGCACUCUAGUGAGACUGCCGGGGACAACUCGGAGGAAGGUGGGGAUGACGUCAAAUCAUCAUGCCCCUUAUGUUCUGGGCUACACACGUGCUACAAUGGCCGGUACAGAGAGACGCAAUGUCGCGAGGCGGAGCAAAACUCUAAAACCGGUCCCAGUUCGGAUUGCAGGCUGAAACUCGCCUGCAUGAAGUCGGAGUUGCUAGUAAUCGCGAAUCAGAAUGUCGCGGUGAAUGCGUUCCC
rnacentral:rRNA from 1 species